AUUUUGUAUUCUGUAUGCAUUAUGUGAUUUAUGCCAGUCUAUAUAGAUUCAGGGAUACAUUGGUUCUUUGCUCUGCUGCUUGAGUGUUUGAGUUAUUUAUGUAUUUAUUUAUGUGUUCAUGUUGGACUAGACUGGGAGUACACCAGUCAUUCUUGGUACCCUCUUCUCUCUAGAUCACUGCAGCUCUGCUUAGUGGCUAUACUUGUAUCUUCUGGUUAUUGUGCAUUACGUUCUUUUCCCCAUAGGUUUAGUUGGUGGAUAUUUAAUCACAUAUAUCUGGUAUCGUCUGUUCAUGUUUUCUCCCUUUUUUGACUAAGAAGUUCUGAC